CUUUUCUUUUUUUUAAUUAGGACAAUGCGGGAUUCAAACCUCAAACAUAUAAACCUACCGGCCACCACAUUACCCUAAUAGAGAUCUAAGUUAAAUCUUAAAGAUUCGUGACCAUUGGAUUAUCCAUAUAGUUGUAUCUUAGAUAUACCCUAAAAACUAAACGCUUCUCUGUAUUCCUUUCAGCCGUCGGAACCCCAUAGAACAAAUUCUUGUGUUCAUUUUUUUCUGGUCUGAAAUUUCUUUCUCGAUCAUGAUGGAUUCUUCGACUAACAUCUCUUACCAAUCCGAACAGCAAUCUUAUUGUCUCCAUGAUGAUGGAUUUCAAUCACACAAUGAUUUUUCCUCUCCAAACUCAAGUUUGGUCCUCCUCUGAUUUGUGAUUCUAGAUUUAGCUUCUUCGGGUUCUUGAGCAGGAAUUGAUCCUAUUCUGAAGAAAGAAUUGGUGGAAACCUCAAGACGACAAAGGUGCUCCGCUAAUUCAAUUUCUUCGUAAUUGGCACAUCUGAAGAGCUGUUUAUAGUGAUACUCUAGAAAAUUGUCAAAAAUCUACACCCAAGAAAUUUUCGGAUGUCAGCAACAAGAAGCCUGAGAACAAAUGAUGGAGCAUGGUUACAGAUAGGUGUGGGAACACUGAGCAAUUUUUCCAACCUCUGCAGCAAUGGGGUUAUGAUCCUGACUCGUGAAACUAUACCUUUCAGCAACACUAAGUUACCGGCUGUGUGUGCAUGAAUUUAACUGAGAAAGGGAAUCCAAUUCGAUGCUGUUUCAUGUGGGAUGGUAAAAUGGAACUGCAGUCCGCAUGUGAUCACUGGUAUACUUCUUUAAGAUGGAUUUUGUGAACAACUUGAAUCAGAGGAAGACCACCUGCAUUUUUGUAUUACUAAUGCAGUGGCUUAUUAGGUAUACGUUUCUAUUCUUUGUGCCUAUUGUUUUUAACAAAUUUGAACUGAAAUGAAUGCAAGUAAGUUCAAUUAUGAUUGGUAAUAUUAGUGAUGGGCAUGGCACUCUUGGUUCCAUGUUACUUUCGGAUUCUUUCUUUAUUACACAGUUAGACAUCUUUUCUUUUUUAAACUUUGAUUGUUGAA